rnacentral:rRNA from 1 species
UACGUAGGUGGCAAGCGUUAUCCGGAUUUACUGGGUGUAAAGGGCGUGUAGGCGAGAAAGCAAGUCAGAUGUGAAAACCACGGGCUCAACCUGUGGCCUGCAUUUGAAACUGUUUUUCUUGAGUACUGGAGAGGCAGACGGAAUUCCUCGUGUAGCGGUGAAAUGCGUAGAUAUGAGGAGGAACACCAGUGGCGAAGGCGGUCUGCUGGACAGCAACUGACGCUGAGGCGCGAAAGCGUGGGGAGCAAACAGG